GCCUUCGUGGUGUGUUGGUCAGCACACUGAGCCGGUAUUUCAGAGGUCCGUGGUUCGAUUCCCGGCGAAGGCC
rnacentral:tRNA from 1 species